UUUCUCUUCUGCUUCACCUCUGCCUCCUGCGAUUCCGAGAGAGAAAUAUCAAUUCAUCUCUUCUAUUUCUUAAGGGGAAAAAAAUGCAUGCCCAAGAACUGUCCAUCUUUGCCGUCUCAGCUCAGCUCGCCGUCAUAGAUCGCCGCUGCACAUUAUCCUUUUUGGAAAACCCUAAUGGAUAUGUCCAUUUAGACUUGUAACUAUUGGACUUGUUUUCAGAUUGAUUUAGUUUGUUUUGGGCCGGGUAUAUGAGGUCCAUUGUUAUUUUGGUGGGUUGUAAACUUUUUUUUUUGUAAAUUUAGUCCAUUAUCUUAACUUUUUUUGUUUAUUCGGUUAGAAUUAACCGAAUUAGAAAAAAUUCGGUUUAAAUUCGGAA